AGCUUUGCGCAGUGGCAGUAUCAUUGCCAAUGAGGUUUAUCCGAGGCGCAAUUAUUGCUAAUUGAAAACUUUUCCCAAUACCUCGCCAUGACGACUUGUAGUUGGCAUUGGCAAUUUUUGACAGUCUCUAUGGAGA
ensembl:snRNA U4 U4 spliceosomal RNA